rnacentral:rRNA from 1 species
UACGAACCGUCCAAACGUUAUUCGGAAUUACUGGGCUUAAAGGGUUCGUAGGCGGCCUUGUAAGUGGGGUGUGAAAUCCCUCGGCUCAACCGAGGAAUAGCGCUCCAAACUGCAAGGCUUGAGGGAGACAGGGGUAAGCGGAACUGAUGGUGGAGCGGUGAAAUGCGUUGAUAUCAUCAGGAACACCGGUGGCGAAAGCGGCUUACUGGGUCUCUUCUGACGCUGAGGAACGAAAGCUAGGGUAGCGAACGGG